UACGAAGGGGGCGAGCGUUGUUCGGAUUUACUGGGCGUAAAGGGCGCGCAGGCGGCUCAUUUUGUCAGGCGUGAAAGCCCCGGGCUCAACCUGGGAAUGGCAUUUGAUACUCUGAGGCUGGAGUACGGGGAGAGGAGAGUGGAAUUCCCAGUGUAGAAGGUGAAAUUCGUAGAUAUUGGGAAGAACACCGGUGGCGAAGGCGGCUCUCUGGGACCGUAACUUGACGCUGAGGCGCGGAA
rnacentral:rRNA from 1 species